CAGCAUGUGAGCUUGUGUGGAACAAAGAAAGCCUACCAGCAAAAGGAAUAAAUCAGUAACAAACAACUGAAGCAACCAAGAAGAAACUAAAAAAACCCAAAGGCACCCCUCAGUUUCCGGUCAGCUGCAACUGGUUUUCAACCUAAUCACUCUCCAACCACCCUCUAACCACCUUAACCAUCAAUAAACUGUGAAAAGAGGAAUAUUUGAGUUCAUGUGUUUGAAGACCAAGGCCCUUUUCAAGUUGAGGCAAAGAACUGAGGGAGUCAAAGACAAGUUGACAGUAUCCUAGACAUGUGUUGUUCUCAUUAAGCGGCAGUUUCUGGAUCAAUUUUAAUGGGACGAUUUUGUCACAUUAAAGCUGCUUGUAGACAUCUGGACAGACGUCAUCUCAGCAGUCAUCAAGAAGGUUCCACAGCAUCUCCAUGUCCUGAGAGUUCUCAAUAAAAACAACCUGGACAAAAAGUUGCUGCCGAUGUUCUACCACUCAUCCAUCAAGAACCUUCUGACGUGCUGCGUCUGCAUCUGCUCCAGGACCUGCUCUGAGGCAGACAGAGCAAGGUUUCAGAGGAGAAUUAAAGCAGCAUAGAAGAUCUUUGGCUGUUCUCUCCAUUCCAUGGAAGACAUCUAUUCCUCUCGAUGCCUCACCGGAGCUCUAAACAUUAAGGACACUACACACCCCGGUUCUCAACUGUUUGAGCUCCUGGAAUCUGGAAAGCACUACAGAUGCACAAAAGCAAGGACCAACAGACUGAGAAACAUUUUUCCUGAAAGCCAUCACCACCCUUUUUCCUCCAACCACAUAAUUAAUGUGAAAGCACGCUGAUUUCAACAUCAUGUGCAAUACACUUCAUGCAGGUCAUUUUACACAUCUAUUUUUAUCUAUAUUUAUUUUUUUACUCUGCUUUUACGUAUGCACUGGCACAAGAGAAGCUCUCCUAUCUCACUGCACAGUGUAUAUAAUGAGAAUCAAUGGCAUUCAUUCAUAUCCUACCAGUUGUUAUGCUGAUGAAAUGCAAUUAUAAAUAAGGACAACCCCCACUUCAAUCUCUGCCAACAUCCACUCUGACCACCUGCCUGGUGGAGAUAAGAGGCAAGGAUGAUGGCCAAUUUCCUUCAGCUAAAUAGUUCAAAAUAAGAAACCAUCCAAAUUGCCACACAUUAUCAAGUCCAUUUACAAGUAUCACGUCUGUUCAAAACAUACCGCUUUCCUCAUCUGUCACCAACUUGGCUAUUAAAAUGGAUGCUUCACUGAA